rnacentral:lncRNA from 10 species
AUUAUUAAUUAUCAUCUUUAAGGUAUUACACAGUUGUUUUUAAAAAAUCAGUUUUAGAAAAGGAUAUAUAAUUUAUUUUUGUAAAUCAAUUGGCUUGUAUCUUUGAGUUGCAUUUUCUAAAUUUGGGAUUUAAAAACCAAUGAUUGUAUCUGUAAAUGUUAGAAUGGUGACAACUGUGUUCUAAAGUUUGAUAACAUUGUACCAAAAUCUGAAACUCCUAUGAAUUCUUCAUGAAAUCCUGUUUUACUUUAUUUUAUUUUAUUGCAUUAAAACAUUUUGAUAGAUUCACAUUAGCAUUAACAUUAAGGUUGGGUUUAUUUUUCAUGAUAACUGGGUGGAGGGUUUUUCUUUUUUGACAGAAAAAUGAAGUUUUAUGAUACAUUCACAGUUUUUUAAAAAAAAAUUAAAGCAGAUAUACAAUAAGAGUGUUUAAUACAUUUUGCUAAGAUGAUCAAUCUGUGUUUAGAGACACCAAAAAUAUAUAGAUUCUCUACUAGAGUGCUCCUACAUAAUUCAUGAAUGCUUUGGGGAAAACAAAAAAAUAACUCAACUUUGAGGGAGGAAUCCACCAUUAGUUGCUCACUGGGGCUCUGGAAAAGAGGUGGAGAAUUCUCCAAUGUGUGCUGUAUGGAUUAAAGGAAUUUAUGAAAAUAAAUAAGGGAUCUCCAUUGCCUUUGUGUUGGAAAUAGAGCUUGAAUCUUUCCAGUCCUCUGUUACAAUAUGACUGACAGCACUUGGAGACAAAAUUAAACGUAAUUCUGACUCUAGCUGAGCAGCUUGAAUGCUACUGCAGAGAUCAUUUUUUUCUUUCCAAAAGUAUCCUCUGAGAGCAGGGCAAAAAUCACAGGACGGUAUCAUUCUUUCGGCCCAUUGGACUAAGGAGGCUUGAUACGAUCAUUAUGCUGGUUAUGGAGACAAAAAAUGAAUCUCUGUUAUUUCAAUACAAGAAGACAUUUUAUAAAUUGAACUAUUUGAUUCUAUAAGGCUAUAGAAGAUUAUGAAUCACAUUAUUUCAGCAGCCUAACAUUAUGGUAUGAAUAUUUAAUCAUUAGGUUUUUUUUUUUAAUAUUAAUGAAGGGGCAACUCUUUUGCAAAGACUAUUGGUUCCAUUGGUUUAGUUUAACCAGUAAGAUAUAUGUUGGAGCUGUGUUUCACUUAUAUUAAGCACAAUUUAGUUUUGUAUUAUAUUUUUGUGUUAUAAAUUUUCAUGCUUAAUGUUAUGAUUCUCAUUCUUAUCUGUUGUUCAUAAUAAACCUGAGACCUAGAAGAUUGUUUUAGAAUAUAUAUUCUUAUUAAUUUUGUAAUUAAAUACAAUUCCUCCUUUAAGCCAACCCUAAAACUGUGCUCUUUAAACUUGUGUAAACAGGUGAAAAAGACCCAAUAGGUCAAUAUUCUAGCUUAUAUUGAAAACUAGCUGAGAGAAUGAAGAAUUUAUUGCUUAAAGGGAGACAAUGGCAAAUUUAAGACACUUAUGGUACUCUAAAACUGCAACCAGGGUUAAAAUAUAUUAUUACCCUGAGACAUUAGUCAGGGAACCUGCACAGUUAAUGGAAACCCUCAGUUUGACUAAUUGUUGGCAUUAAGACAGAAAUUUCAAGGUCUAUUAAGGAGGAAAACGAAAACUCAUAUGCAUAUGUGGUUUAGAGUGUAUAGUGGAGUUUGGCAAGGGCAUGGACAAAAUGUUAUGAAUAAAAAUAAUCCCAGAGGUCUUAUGAAAGUCAAGUGCUAUAAGAGGGACAGAAAAUAGCCAAGGAUGUCCCAAAGAGAGCUUUUCCUCAGGUUAAAGAAUGAUUAUUCCUCAGAAUGACAUAUGUCUCUUUUAUAUGUGUCUUUUAACUCAAGCUGAUAACUUAGAAACAAAUUAUUAAUGUUUAGUAGAUUUCUAUAAAUUAGCUAUAUAUCAAGAAUAGAAAAGCUGAGCAUCUUCUCUUUGAGCAGGAAAUAGCAUUAAUACAUAUCAAUUUAUUUUUACAUUUUAUUUCAUUAAAGGCAUUUCCAUAGCCAACAAUUAUAUGGACUUACGUAUAUUAAAUUGUUUUAAAAAAUUAUAAACUCCUAGACCUUUGGGUUGUAAACGUAAACACAUUUUUCAUGUGGUACCUACUGAAUUAGACCAAUGAGAUGAAUAUCUAGAGUGUUAGGGAAUAUAAAAUCUGGAUGUCAAAAUAGUCAUUUACUAUUUUCUCAGUCAAUUUAAAUCUCUGUCAACUCAGAAUAUGUUCCAUUACUAAGCUGGAAAACAUAAGAGUUUUACAUUUUAGAUCUUAACACGAAAUAAAUCAUAGAAAUUAUUUUGUAAAUAACAUAUAGGGUUGGUCAAUAGAACUACUUAGUGGUCAAUAUGUACAAUCUUUUAUUGACAUUCAUCGAUAUUCACAGAUAUAUCUAUAUCUAUACAUCUAUAUUAUCUAUCUAUCUAUCUAUCUAUCUAUCUAUCUAUCUAUCUAUCAUCUAUCUAUCUCACUCAUUCAGCAUCUCUGGGCUGUAACACAUCAUCCUGGCUCAAGGUGUCUAGGCAGUAGGGGAAUUGAUCAGUCAAUGGGACAACAGUGUUGUCAUUCAUAGACGUCUAUAUCUAUGAAUAUCUGUGAAUGUCAAUAAAAGACUGUACAUAUUGGCCAUUAAAUAAUCAUAAGCACACAAUUAUAAGCACACAAAUACUACAUUUGAAUGAAUAAGAGCAUUUGUACUGCUGUGCUAGAUAAGCUUUAUGAAUAGUUAGAAACACAGAUGAUAAACAUGUUUGCUUACAAUCCUAGCUAACUCCUGUACUGAUAGUUUGCCAGACUGAGCCAAGGUAUAGAGAAGAUGCCUUACAGCUGUGUAUGCUGUAGCUAUGUUUUAUUAAAUUGACCUUGUGACCUGAAAUGAUUUCUGCUUCUCCAAGUGUUGAGAGAUACUUCCGUUAACACACAUUUAUUGAGCAAAAGGCAAUAUGCCAGGUGUUGAGUAUAUGGUAAAUAAGACAACCCAGACCCUCUCAGGUCUCUUGGGGAGCUCACAUUCUAAGACAUUUCCUGUCAAAAUAUCAUUGGUGGAUCACCUGUAUUGAAAUAAUCAGUGGGUAGCCAGGCGUGAUUACACCUGCCUGUAGUCCCAGCUAUUCUGGAGGCUGAGGCAAGUGGAUCAUUUGAGCCCAGGAGUUCGUGCCUGCAUUGAGCUAUGAUUGCACCACUGCACUUCAUCCUGGGCAAAAGAGCAAGAUGAAAGAAAGUAAGAAAGAAAGUAAGAAAGAAAGAAAGAAAGAAAGUAAGAAAGAAAGAAAGAAAGAAAGAAAGAAAGAAAGAGAGAGA